AUCGAUAAUCCACGAUGGACCUUACUUAAGUUUGUAAUCAGUUUAUAUACCGUCGUUAUUAGAAUAUUUUAUAAGAAUGUUAAUUUUCAUAAUUUUUAAAAAGAAAAUAUAUCAGAUCAAGGUGUAGCUUAUAUUUAAGUAGAAAUGGGUUACAAUAAAUUUAUUUAUACGAAUAUAAAUUUGAAAUAUUUAUUGAAGGUGGAUUUGAUAGUAAAAUUAUAAAGAUUAAUAAUUUGAUU
rnacentral:rRNA from 1 species